GUACCUCAUGUGUGUACCGGAGUCCUCGUAGAGAGACGUUAAUCCGUCCUCUUCCCCGAUGUCCUCCAGUUCCUGAGACGCUGAAGGGCUGCGUGAACCCGCUGUCCGCCCGCAGGAGGAGGAAGACGGCGCUCCGAUCGAAGCCGGCCGGAGUCGUGAGGAGCAGCUUCAAGAAGAACCUCGGUGGGAAGAACCCUCUGAAGAGCUUCCAGUACAGCGGGGCGAGGAGCAGCCGGUCGUAGCCACGGAAACCGGCGAGCGCCGAAGCCUUCGCCAGGAGGACUCGUGAGGAUUUGACGGACGCGAGGAGUUCAGUAUCUGUUCUUAUUUCUGAUGAAUAUGUUGUGGAAACAUUGAGGAUGUUGUUAAAAUAAAGUGAUUUCUUCUUACUUGUUGGUGUUGCUUUGGGGCCAUGAUUACUUCUCAGAGUCGCUUGUGGCCAAUGGAGAGAAUGCAGCCUCAACACAUGAAGCUCAGGUAGAUUAUGUAGAUUAUGUAACCAAGUAAAACACAGACACGGGUCUUUUUAGAAAAACACUUUUAAUAAAAUGCAUUCAGUUUAACUGAGACCAGCAAUCGCACCGUGAAGCCGUUAAGAAUCAGAGAGAGAAACCGAAGGAGCGAAUCACAUGACAUGUGUCUUGACAGAACGCCGUCUCUGCUCAGCAGAAGUUUCCAUCCAGAUCUGUGAAGACUUCCCGAAGGAACAUUUCUCUAAUGGACGUUGACUUUUAAGUCGCUUUAAUUUCCCUCUGAACUGGACUCUAUUACAUAAACGCUCACGUUGCGCUUUUAUUCCAAAUCUGCAGUUCAUCUUCUAAUGAGUUCUUCUGGUGAGUGAGUGCUGCUCAGAGUAGAACCUGUGACGUGUUUCUGGAGUUCAGGUUCUAGCACACGAUGUAAAUGUACAUCUACAUGCAUGGAUAUUUAUGUUUGAAAAGCCACAGAUAAUAAAGGACCUAGUGGGGUGGAUGUAAUACAAAUACCUUCUAGCUGGUGAAGCUGUAGAAAGGGUCC
ensembl:lncRNA